rfam:Acetobacterium woodii DSM 1030, complete genome.
AACAAGGAUUUCUUCAAAUUCACAAAUAUUAUUAUGUAAAUGUUCU